CAGCCGCCGCGGGAAUACGUAGGGUGCAAGCGUUAAUCGGAAUUACUGGGCGUAAAGCGUGCGCAGGCGGUUAUAUAAGACAGAUGUGAAAUCCCCGGGCUCAACCUGGGAACUGCAUUUGUGACUGUAUAGCUAGAGUACGGCAGAGGGGGAUGGAAUUCCGCGUGUAGCAGUGAAAUGCGUAGAUAUGCGGAGGAACACCGAUGGCGAAGGCAAUCCCCUGGGCCUGUACUGACGCUCAUGCACGAAAGCGUGGGGAGCAAACAGGAUUAGAUAUCCCUGUAGUCCCUGUCUCUUAUAC
rnacentral:rRNA from 1 species